UGCUGUGGCCAGGCCACCCUGAACAAGCCCGAUCCCGUCUGAUCUCAGAAACUAAGCAGGGUCGGACCUGGUUAGUACUUGGAUGGGAGACCACCUAGGAAAACCAGGCCCCGUAGGCA
rnacentral:rRNA from 1 species